rnacentral:rRNA from 1 species
GUCCACGCCGUAAACGAUGGAUACUAGCUGUUGGGAGUAAUCUCAGUGGCUAAGCGAAAGUGAUAAGUAUCCCACCUGGGGAGUACGUUCGCAAGAAUGAAACUCAAAGGAAUUGACGGGGGCCCGCACAAGCGGUGGAGCAUGUGGUUUAAUUCGAUGAUACGCGAGGAACCUUACCAAGGCUUAAAUGUAGAUUGACCGUUUUGGAAACAGAACUUUCGCAAGACAAUUUACAAGGUGCUGCAUGGUUGUCGU